rnacentral:lncRNA from 1 species
AGAAAAGAGGCAAUACAUGAGGCUACAGCAAAUAAAAUGUACUUUUAUAAUAAAUUUUAUAAUAAAAUACUAAGUUUGCUCCUUAAAUAAAUAUCAUUUGAAAUCAAAACCAGCCCCAAAUGGCCAUUAUGCUUCAUCUCCUAGUUUCACUCAGCUUUUUGACAAGUAGCUGUUGCUUCAUGUUACCUGUGAGUACGAGGUGGUGUUAGGACAGCCAGCUCUGUAGCACUCAGAGUGUACAGAAGUCUUAAAACACUUUGCCAAGGCAGCCUUAGAGAAGCUGAUCUGGGCUACACAAUGCAGUAUUGACAUCUAUCUUUCCUGAUUACCAAACUGUUACCCAUCCCUUCAAGUAUGGUGUUUUUCAAAUUUAUCAUAAUGCCAGCUGUAUAUGCAAAACAGAUCAUUUGCCUAAUCAGGCUUUUGUCAUAAAUUAGACCCCCACGCCCAGCAGUUCUGACUGUCCUUAAAGGGCGGUUCCUGCUUGUGUUACACUAUUGCAUGGCCUUAUGGCAGAGCUAAAGCAGCAGUGGUGCUACUGGAAGGGUUAGUACAUACACUGUGCAGCCUUUGCAAUGGCUGAGGCAAGUACACGCUGUUGCCAUUAAUAACUCAUGUUUCUGCUGUUCACAGCUGCUUCAGAACCGUUCGUGUAGCGCUGCCAACCCGUCGAGCCCAGCUGGGACCAUGAUUGCUUCAGGACUGGCUGAAGAACAGAUGUUGGUUGUGACAAGAAAAACUGAAGUCCACGAAAGCAUGGCAUCCCGAGCUCUCCUGAGCGAAAAGUAAGUGCAUGAAAAAGUACAAAUAACAUCUGUACACAGCUGUUAGUGGCAGAUUACAGACACGGGUAACAGGGCUCAUUAUGGUGAGGAUGAGACAGUGUUUGGAGUCAUCUUUGUGCUUCCAUGUCCUUAAUGUGCUCCCCAGCCUUUUUCAGAUGCAGCAUAGCAGAAAAGAAAGCAAUUUUAGUUGUCGUGAA